ACUUUUCUCAACAGAACAUCGAUACUACUGUGCGCUUUUGGUUGUGUUGGUUACCCGUGGCAACUCGACAGUGUGCAGCUGCCCUCCAGCUCCUCUCCAUCUCCCUCUACUUCUAUCACAUCUGUCUUUACUGGCCCUUCUAUCCACUCUAUCUAUUAAAGGUUCUUUUCACCUCUCUCCUAUAACAUCUACCACUCAUCCCUUAAUAUAAGGUUUUCUAUCUCUCCUGUCAAAUCUAAUAAAUCUAUCUAAAUUUGA